rnacentral:rRNA from 1 species
UACGUAGGUGGCAAGCGUUGUCCGGAUUUACUGGGUGUAAAGAGCGCGCAGGCGGUCGUGCAAGUCGCGUGUGAAAGCCCCCGGCUCAACUGGGGAGGGUCACGCGAUACUGCUCGACUCGAAGGCAGGAGAGGGAAGUGGAAUUCCCGGUGUAGUGGUGAAAUGCGUAGAUAUCGGGAGGAACACCAGUGGCGAAGGCGACUUCCUGGCCUGUUCUUGACGCUGAGGCGCGAAAGCUAGGGUAGCAAACGGG